AACACCCGAUGAAAUAUGGGAACUGUUUCCACUCUCAAAGUGGUUGUGAAAUGAGUUACUCUUGAACGAUCUCAUAUCACAGCCAGCUUUGAAGAGCGAAACGGUUUCUCGCAGCUACGAGCAGGGA
rnacentral:pre_miRNA from 11 species